UACGGAGGGUGCGAGCGUUGUCCGGAAUCAUUGGGCGUAAAGGGCGCGUAGGCGGCGCGGUAAGUCACUUGUGAAAUCUCUGAGCUUAACUCAGAACGGCCAAGUGAUACUGCAGUGCUAGAGUGCAGAAGGGCAAUCGGAAUUCUUGGUGUAGCGGUGAAAUGCGUAGAUAUCAAGAGGAACACCUGAGGUGAAGACGGGUUGCUGGGCUGACACGUGACGCUGAGGCGACGAAAGCCAGGGAGCAAACGGG
rnacentral:rRNA from 1 species